AAGGAAGUCUAAGCCCUCUGCAUUAAACGUCAUUUUGACUCGGUUUCUCAUUUUUGCAGUCUCCAAUUGCAACAUUAAGGUCAACUGUAUCCCUACUGAUUUUCUGUGUGCUUGAUCUAUCUUACUGACAGAGGGGUAUGGAAGUUUCCAACUGCAGUAGACACAGACUUCCGAGCUAUUUUAUGAUGGAGCUGAAGUCUGAAGUCUGCAAGUACCCCCUAUUUAAGAAAUAAAUAGAAUAUGUAAUCAAAACCCUCCUUUGAAAGACAACUGAGAUCCAGGUGGCUUCACUGCUGACUCCUACGCAAUAUGUAUGGAUAAAAUAAUACCAUUCUGACAGAAGCAGCUUCAAAAAUAGAGGAAGAGCCAAGAUGUCUUGGACAGGACAACAAUGGUACCUAUUGAAGAAAGACUCAACAAACUGAACUGUUGAAAAUGUAUGACAUUGUUCUUCCAGUGAAACUAUCAACACACCUAAUGAACUAAAACUAACAAAAGAUUACCAUACCAAACCUUGGUGAGGAUACGGAGCCAUUAAAACACUCAUAA